GACGAACGCUGGCGGCGUGCUUAACACAUGCAAGUCGAACGGAAAGGCCCUGCUUUUGUGGGGUGCUCGAGUGGCGAACGGGUGAGUAACACGUGAGUAACCUGCCCUUGACUUUGGGAUAACUUCAGGAAACUGGGGCUAAUACCGGAUAGGAGCUCCUGCUGCAUGGUGGGGGUUGGAAAGUUUCGGCGGUUGGGGAUGGACUCGCGGCUUAUCAGCUUGUUGGUGGGGUAGUGGCUUACCAAGGCUUUGACGGGUAGCCGGCCUGAGAGGGUGACCGGCUACAUUGGGACUGAGAGACGGCCCAGACUCCUACGGGAGGCAGCAGUGGGGAAUAUUGCACAAUGGGCGGAAGCCUGAUGCAGCAACGCCGCGUGCGGGAUGACGGCCUUCGGGUUGUAAACCGCUUUCGCCUGUGACGAAGCGUGAGUGACGGUAAUGGGUAAAGAAGCACCGGCUAACUACGUG
rnacentral:rRNA from 1 species